ACAGCCGUAUCAUGUUGAAACACCGGUUCUCAUAUGAUCACCAAAGUUAAGCAACAUUAAGCCUUGUCAGUAUCUAUAUGGGUGACUGACUAGAAAUACCUGGUGUUGUAAG